rnacentral:lncRNA from 1 species
UGGGAUGACAGGCGUGGGCCACUGCGCCCCUGAUUUGGGUUUUGGAAGAACGGUGAAGCUCACGGCAUGCCAAGUGCAUUCUGUGCCAAGAUCCUGGACAGUGUUUUAGGGCUGGGAAAGGCAAGGGAGUGUCCAGGACCCUCCCUGGCUGGUUUGGAAUUUGAGGCUGGGGGGUGGAGGCUGACCAUCCCCUUGUUAGGAGGUCUCCCCUCCUACAUAGAAGAAAAUGGAUGUUUCUCCCCUGGAGAAAAGCCAGGACCAGAGGGCUCUUCACGGAAGGGGUAGCAGACAGACUAUGGCACUGAGGUUCCCUCCCAGCCUCCCAUGGGACCCCAGGCACUGACCCGCAGAAGUGACACUUCUGGGCAGAGCCAGCACUGUGACCUCUCAGAGACUCGCGCUAAUAGAUCACCUUGUCAAAUCAGGAGCCGGCGUUCCACGGGGAACCAGGGGUCUCCUCUGAUUAACCAGGAUAAAUGAGAUUUCUCUUCGCCCUGGA